GGCGGAUGUAGCCAAGUGGAUCNA
rnacentral:tRNA from 1 species